AUUGAACGCUGGCGGCAUGCCUUACACAUGCAAGUCGAACGGUAACAGGUCUUCGGUUGCUGACGAGUGGCGAACGGGUGAGUAAUACAUCGGAACGUGCCCGAUCGUGGGGGAUAACGAGGCGAAAGCUUUGCUAAUACCGCAUACGAUCUACGGACGAGAGCGGGGGAUCUUCGGACCUCGCGCGGGCGGAGCGGCCGAUGGCAGAGUAGGUAGUUGGUGGGAUAAAAGCUUACCAAGCCGACGAUCUGUAGCUGGUCUGAGAGGAUGAUCAGCCACACUGGGACUGAGACACGGCCCAGACUCCUACGGGAGGCAGCAGUGGGGAAUGUUGGACAAUGGGCGAAAGCCUGAUCCAGCCAUGCCGCGUGCAGGAUGAAGGCCUUUGGGUUGUAAACUGCUUUUGUACGGAACGAAAAGCCUCUUUCUAAUAAAGAGGGGUCAUGACGGUACCGUAAGAAUAAGCACCGGCUAACUACGUG
rnacentral:rRNA from 1 species